rnacentral:rRNA from 1 species
GUAAACCAUAGCGAGCAAACCGUGACGGCGUCGCAAGGCAUCGUCGCGGUUAAUAAGGAUAACCCUGGUAAUUCUGAGGCUAAUACAAGAACGUACAACCCGCCCGACCCGCAAGGGAAGGGGGGGGAAUGUGUGACCAGGCACGCAAAUUCGAAACUGGGAGUGGCCACACGUUCAGACCGCCAUACCAAACAGUCGCUCGCUUCGAAAGUCCUCGUGACGAGUAGCGGUGGGUUUCUGGGCGGCUCUCGCUGUGUGCUUCUGACCUAUCAACUAGAUGGCAGCGUAACGGACAUGCUAUGGUGACAACGGGUACAGAGGAUAAGGGUUCGAUCCUGGAGAGUGGGCCUGAGAGAUU